rnacentral:sRNA from 1 species
CAAAACCUUAAACUUUUGUCUUUCCAGGAACGGUAAUGGUAGGAGAGAGAGAGCAGGGAUUGGGGAAUGCUGCCCCCCCAAAGUUUCUGUGGCUGCGCUUAGCACCCCAACCAUCCUCCUUUGUCCUCAGUGGAUCUAAAGUUUGAUACCCCAGGAGGGGAGCGCUUCACCGUCUGUACACUUUGCUGGUUAAUCAACGUCCAGGCAAGAGAGAGCCUCUCGGGUCGCCAGAAAGAUAACUGUCUUGGAAAGUGAACGGGAAAGACACUUGGAAUGAGAUAUCUGACACCUGGGUGCCUCUUUGUCUUUGCAGGAAGUGGUUACCUGGAAGGAAAGGAGCUGCAGAACUUGAUCCAGGAGCUCCAGCAGGCGCGAAAGAAGGCUGGAUUGGAGUUAUCACCUGAAAUGAAAACUUUUGUGGAUCAGUAUGGGCAAAGAGAUGAUGGAAAAAUAGGAAUUGUAGAGUUGGCUCACGUAUUACCCACAGAAGAGAAUUUCCUGCUGCUUUUCCGAUGCCAGCAGCUGAAGUCCUGU